GAUGAAGAACGCAGCGAAAUGCGAUAAGUAAUGUGAAUUGCAGAAUUCAGUGAAUCAUCGAAUCUUUGAACGCACAUUGCGCCCGUCAGUAUUCUGGCGGGCAUGCCUGUUCGAGCAUCAUUACGCCCCUCAAGUCCCCUGUGGACUUGGUGUUGGGGAUCGGCGAGGCUGGUUUUCCAGCACAGCCGUCCCUUAAAUUAAUUGGCGGUCUCGCCGUGGCCCUCCUCUGCGCAGUAGUAAAACACUCGCAACAGGAGCCCGGCGCGGUCCACUGCCGUAAAACCCCCCAACUUUUUAUAGUUGACCUCGAAUCAGGUAGGACUACCCGCUGAACUUAAGCAUAUCAAUAAGCGGAGGA
rnacentral:misc_RNA from 1 species